UAAGGAAUAUUGGACAAUGGUCGCAAGACUGAUCCAGCCAUGCCGCGUGCAGGAAGACGGCCCUAUGGGUUGUAAACUGCUUUUGUACCAGAGAAAACCUAUCUACGUGUAGAUAGCUGAUAGUAUGGUAAGAAUAAGCAUCGGCUAACUUCGUGCCAGCAGCCGCGGUAAGACGAAGGAUGCAAGCGUUAUCCGGAUUCAUUGGGUUUAAAGGGUGCGUAGGCGGGCUUGUAAGUCAGUGGUGAAAUCUCUCAGCUUAACUGAGAAACUGCCAUUGAUACUGCAGGCCUAGAGUAUAGAUGACGUUGGCGGAAUAUGACAUGUAGUGGUGAAAUACUUAGAUAUGUCAUAGAACACCGAUUGCGAGGGCAGCUAACGAAACUAUAACUGACGCUGAGGCACGAAAGUGCGGGGAUCAAACA
rnacentral:rRNA from 1 species